rnacentral:antisense_RNA from 1 species
CGUAGCCAAAGAUCACCGCUGGGUUUAGCGUUGGGUUAGAGAUCACGCGCACGUCACCGCCGCCAGGUGCCCAGGUGUCAUAAAGACCACCGACAAACAUUGCUUUAAUUACCAGCAGUAGCGCACCGCAUCCGAGAAUAAUGAGGUGGAAACCAAUAAUGCUGGUCAUCUUGUUCUUAUCUUUCCA